UACAGAGGGGGCAAGCGUUAUUCGGAAUUAUUGGGCGUAAAGGGCGCGUAGGCGGCCUGGCAAGUGGAAGGUGAAAUCCCUCGGCUUAACCGAGGAACUGCCCUCCAAACUGCUUGGCUUGAGUCCGGGAGAGGUGAGUGGAAUUCCCAGUGUAGCGGUGAAAUGCGUAGAGAUCGGGAGGAACACCUGUGGCGAAGGCGGCCGACUGGGCCGACCCUGACGCUGAGGCGCGAAGGCGUGGGGAGCGAACGGG
rnacentral:rRNA from 1 species